CCCCCCCCCCCCCCCAACCCUUCUCGAGACAUCAUCUGAAUUGAUCGAACUUGUGGAACUAAUUGACCAACUGGGAACACGUGCUUUAUUUUACGGAGCAAAACUAAGGUCGUUAGGUAUCUUGGAAUUGGGAAGCUUGCUAUCUGGGAG